ensembl:lncRNA
AGAGGAAGCGAACAUCAUUAGGACCACGCGACUGAGCUCCAGCGGAGAUUAUAAAGGUCCAUUUGAAGAAAAAUAUACCAGCAGAGGGUAGCGACAGAUUGCAUUUUCAUCUAACAUGAUUGUGGUUUUGCUGUUCGUCAUCGCUGGACUCUUUUCUCCGUGCUCUUUCCUCACAUCAGACUGCUCUUUUUUAAAUAGAGCUACCACACCGGCAGUCACCCCAAGCACUGUGGAAACAUCUUCGCAGCCCAAUUCCAAACUUCUAGGCGUCGUGCCCGCAGUAGUCUGUUCUACAGGUGUGGUACUGCUGUUAGCGGGUUUCUUUUACAGAAAAGCAAAAAAUCAGCAACAACAAAGACGGACUCAAACCAGUCCUGGUUUGCAGAAUGACAGCUCAUUAGUCUAAUGCUUUGGAUGUAACAUCAUACUCCUGGUUCGAGGCCAGGGCAUGCCUCCACUAAGGGUCCUUCCUGCUACCCAAGCCUACUGUGAGGGACAACUGUAGCCAUGCCGGCUCGGACGUCGUCUUGAUUAAGGUCUGCAUGAGGUGUUGAAGAACCAGAAGAGUUUACAUAAGCAGACAGCAUCAUUCUGAUGCUCGCACUUUUGGCUAGUACUUAAAUAGGGCUUUUCCAAGUGAUGGCAACAUCAAGAAGAAGGAAUACUCAAUAGCAGAAUAAGCUGUUUAGUACUACCUGAAAGAAUUUGCCAAGUUUUUCAUGGGGGAAAUCCAAAAAUGUAUUUUCCUCACAAAUGUGACACAUUUAUGUGGAAAUACACAGGCUUUCCAACAUGGAAGUACAAAGAAGGAAUGUUACAACCAACUUUAUAUUAUCUGUAGAUGUAUUAUUAUGUGUGUAAAAAGAAAAUAAUCAUAUUUCUAACCAAAAUGGUUUUCCCUCUUUAAAAUUGUUUAUUUAUUCUUCUUCUCAUUAUGUUCUCUAUGAGACUGGCUGUUGUCAGGGCCCAUUUGUGCCCCUUUACAUACUUUUUUUUUAAUCCAGUGGUGCACUGAAUGAGAAGCAGGAAAGGAAGUGUACAUUUGAUUCAAAGAAAUGGGAUGUAGUCUAUAUUUACAGCUAUAUGCAGUAAACUUUGUUAUUAGAGACAAGGACAUUUAGUUAUUUCUGAACAUGUGUAAGGCUGUCAAACAGUAAUUGUUUUGGCCUUUUCUGAGAAGAAAACAGUUCUUUAUAGCACCUAAAAGUAUCACUACAGAAAUAUGCAUUGGUGGAUUUCUUUACAGAGAAGUGGGUGAAAAUUCCUCCAGAGCUGUGUGCACUCUUAUGCUUUUCAGCAAGGAUUCCUCCAUCAUGUAUCACAUCAGUGGUUCCCAAACUUUUUUUUUGCUAGUUUGGGCACAAACACAUCCUUCAACCACACACACCCAUUUUUGUUUUUCAAACUCCAUUGCAGUUUAUUUCACACCUCAAACCUUUUGUAAACAGUGAAACACAGAAAAGUAAACUGUAAUAAAUUACAGCUUGCAAUAAUAAACCACUAAACAAACCAUCUUUAUGGUGAAAUUAUUUUACGUAUAGUUGUUGUUGUUUUUUUACUGUGUAAGAAUAUUCAACCAUGCUAUCAAUACAUUUUUCAAAAAAUGUCUCUCUGUGCAAAAUGAGUUUAAAAACAUAAACAACUGUGGGAUACUGUUUGUCAGUGAUUUGAACCAGGAAAACAAAUUGUGG